UUCGAGGAGGUAGUGACAAGAAAUACCGAUGCGGGACCCUACGGGUGCCGCGUUCGGAAUGAGUACGAUUCGAACCACCGUAACGAGGAACGAUCGGAGGGCAAGUCUGGUGCCAGCAGCCGCGGUAAUUCCAGCUCCAAUAGCGUACGUUAAAGUUGCUGCAGUUAAAAAGCUCGUAGUUGAACGUUCGGGUUCCGCGGGACGGGGCCGCCCCGCGAGGGACGGCGCCGCCCCGGGGGCUCGUGAUAUCUCAUCUCGCCGCCCGUCGCGAGGCGGACGGAGGGAUGGAUGAGGUUACCUGGAAAAAAUCGGGGCGAUCUAGGCGGGCGAACCUCGCCAACGAACGAUCGGACAUGGGAUAACGGAAGAGGGCGUCGGCUCGACUUCGUCGGUUCCUCGGGCCGAGGC
rnacentral:rRNA from 1 species